AGGGAGCUGGGGCAGCCUGCUGUGCGGAGCUGGGGGAGGAGGAGGGAGCCCUGGGGGACAGACAGAAGGACCAUCGAAGGAGAAACCCUGCUGGCCUCGGGACCUGGAGGAAAGAACCAGGGCCCGUGCUCCUUGGGCCAGGAUCCGGCGAUUGGACGGAACCUCUCGGAUUCCCCAGUGCUGUGAAAUCCACUUGGGGCCAUCACACCCUUCAUUGCUGUGCUCCCUGGCAGAACUCGAAUGCAGCGUGAGCUGGGCACUUUUCCCAGGGUUUGCUCUAGGUCUGGGUCUCCCAUCAGCUCCCCCGGAGCAGAGCCUGAGGCAAGGAUUCUUGUUCGGGGGCAUCUUCCUCUCAGCACCGUGCUUUGGGAAUCGAGUGAUGGUGCUGAGUGAACCCCUGAGUGAACAUCUGUGGCUUCCUCCCACCUCGUCUCUGGAUGCACUCCUGUUCGAAUGGUACCUGAUCUUCUUCUGUGUGAGAAUUUUCUCUGGGCACAGUCUGUCCAGGAGGGGACACGAGUACCCCUAAUUUCACUAAGUGUGGCUGAAUUAUCUUCCAGGGUGUCUGUACAUGCUUGUCCCCUCCCCACGGUGGCGUGCUCAAUGGUGGCUCCCCACAGAUAUGUCCGUGUCCUAAUUCCCGGAGCCUUUGGGUCUCAUGUAGCCAAUGAUGUGAAAAAGUGAAGGAUGCUGAGAGGAGAUCAUCCAGGUGGGCUCUGAACAGUAUCCUGUGCAUCUUUCUAAUAAGAGGGGUUCACCGGGAUCCUGUGCAUCUUUCUAAUAAGAGGGGCUCACCGGGUGCGGGGGCUCACGCCUAUCAUCCCAGCACUUUGGGAGGCCAAGACGGGCAAAUCACGUGAGGUCUGGAGUUUGGAACUAGCCUGGGCAUCAUGGUGAAACUCCGUCUCUACUAAAACUACAAAAAUCAGCCAGGCGUGGUGGCCUGUAAUCCCAGCUACUCCGGAGGCUGAGGCCUGAGAAUCGCUUGAACCCGGGAGGUGGAGAUCACGCCAUUGCACUCCAGCCUGGGUGACAGAGUGAAACUUCACCUGAAAAAAAAAAAGAGGGUUCCACAGAGGGGACGCAAACAGGAGGGGACAGCGUGGCCAUGGAGGCAGCAGGGAGUGGCACAGCCAUCAUGACAAUAAGAAAAGACAGGACUUAAACACAUAAAUAAUUUCCACUGUUUUAAACUACCAUGUUUGUGGUAAUUUGUUACAGCAGUGGCAGGAAAUUAAUACACCCAUCUUUAGGACACAAGCGUUCCCCUUUCUCAGGCUAGACACGGUGGCUCACACCUAUAAUUCCAGCACUUUGGGAGGCCCAGGUGGGAGGAUCAUUUGUGCCCAGGAGUUUGAGACCAGCCUGGGAAACACAGUGAGAUCCCAUCUCUACAAAAAACUAAAAAGACACAGACAUGAGCCACUGUGCCUG
rnacentral:lncRNA from 1 species